rnacentral:rRNA from 1 species
AUUGAACGCUGGCGGCAGGCUUAACACAUGCAAGUCGAGCGAGCGGCGGACGGGUGAGUAAUGUCUGGGAAACUGCCUGAUGGAGGGGGAUAACUACUGGAAACGGUAGCUAAUACCGCAUACCAUAGGAUGAGCCCAAGGGGGAUUAGGUAGUUGGUGAGGUAAAGGCUCACCAAGCCGACGAUCUCUAGCUGGUCUGAGAGGAUGAUCAGCCACACUGGGACUGAGACACGGCCCAGACUCCUACGGGAGGCAGCAGUGGGGAAUAUUGCACAAGGGGGGCAAGCCUGAUGCAGCCAUGCCGCGUGUAUGAAGAAGGCCUUAGGGUUGUAAAGUACUUUCAGCGGGGAGGCGUUACCCGCAGAAGAAGCACCGGCUAACGCCGUGCCAGCCGCCGCGGUAAUAC